rnacentral:lncRNA from 1 species
UUUUGGGAAUGAAAAAAUAACUUUAUUUCAUUGUGGGGAGCGGGCCGAUGUCCAGCCUCAGAACUUCUGGAACUGCUUCUUGGUGCCGGCAGCCUUGGUGACCUUGAGCACGUUGAAGCGCACUGUCUUGCUCAGAGGCCGGCACUCGCCCACUGUGACGAUGUCACCGAUCUGGACGUCCCUGAAGCAGGGGGACAGGUGUACAGACAUGUUCUUGUGGCGCUUCUCGAAGCGGUUGUACUUGCGGAUGUAGUGCAGAUAGUCUCGGCGGAUGACAAUGGUCCUCUGCAUCUUCAUCUUGGUCACCACGCCAGAGAGGAUCCGCCCUCGAAUGGACACAUUACCAGUGAAGGGGCAUUUCUUGUCAAUAGCGUCCAAAUUCUGAAAGCCACUUUGCAACCCAAAAAGAACUUUCCUUCAUCAGUGGACAUAUGUCAAAGAAGAGAAACAUUAGUAAUAGGAUCCAGGCCAUGUAAUGUUCAUUAAACA